rnacentral:lncRNA from 1 species
GGGAGAUGUAUGUGAAGGUGAGAAGUCUUGUUGGUAUCCUCGACAAAGUCUCACCCCAGAGGAUGAACUAGGAGGUAGACCUUCCAUAAAAGGAAAAAAUGGUGAUAUCUUAGAAAGCUCCUUAUCAUCGGAACAGAAAGAUUCUACAUGCAAAAUUGGCCUCCAGUCCAGCUGUGGGCUAGCCAAUCCACAGCGUCCUUUGCCCCACCAGAGACUGAAGAAACGCCUUUCUUCCUCCUCUUCCCCUGGAGCUACGGGAGGUGUAACUUCUCAAGAAGCCUCCUCUGGAGGCUUGGUUGAAUUUCUUGCCAACGGCAGAUCCCCCGCUGAUCUCCCAAAUGGACAAGAGCAGCGUCCUGCCUCGGUUCUCUGUGAAAAACCAGGCAAAAAUAAAGAGAACAAGUUGCUUGCAGAAGAACAAGACUGUUCUUGGAGAGGAAGGGAUGUCUACCGUUUCCCAUGGGCGGGUUCCAGCCGCCCCGAGGCUAAUUUUGAUGCUUCGGCAGAUCUCUUUGAGAUUAGUGCCAGGGGAUCGAUGAAAAGCACCACAACAAUAUUACCCAGGCCCCAGAUAGUCACGCCCUGGACUGGCGCGCUGUCCCCAAACUUUAUCACAUCAGAAUUGAUGCUAAGGGAAGGGAAGGGAAAUGCUGCCUGGACUACUUCUCAUUAUGGGUUAUCGUUCUAUGACACAAUGGAUGUCUCAGUCCCCAAAACAAGUACUCCGAUUGCUGGAUCAGGGUUCAAGUCUGAAUGCAGCCCUGUGGCUACCCUGGACUUCACUCCCGCUCCCCGCUCCAUUCCCCUCACAAGGCCUUGUCAUCCAGACAGCCUCCCUGCAAGGAAAGGAUCCUUUCUAAGCGAACUACCCCUGAAUAAAUUGCCCUGGGACAAGGACAAGUGUAAAAGGUCUAGGCUCCCCUUGAAAAACUCUUUAGUGAAACAGCUUGUCAGCAAGUUCUCGCCGUCUGCAACGUCCAGCGACGCAGAAGCUGGCACGGACAACCCAUGGGGACCUCUGAGUCGCCUCUCGGCC